rnacentral:lncRNA from 10 species
CUUCCAAGUAGCUGGGACUACCGGCGCCCGCCAUCGCGCCCAGCUCAUUUUUUUGUAUUUUUAGUAGAGAGGGGGUUUCACCGUUUUAGCCAGGAUGGUCUCGAUAUCCUGACCUUGUGAUCCGCCCGCCUCGGCCUCUCAAAGUGCUGGGAUUACAGGCGUGAGCCACCGCGCCCGACCUAUUGGUUUCUUUUUUUGACACGGAGUCUCACUCUGCCACCCAGGGUGGAGUGCAGUGAUGCAACGUCUCCCUCUUGGGUUCAAGCAAUUCUCCUGCCUCAGGCUCCCAAGUAGCUGGGAUUACAGAAAACUCUUGAGUUCUCCCUGAAAGGAGACUAAAGAACAAUCCUCUGCAGAUGUGUCUGAAUCCUAAAAUGAACUUAAGGAUACAUGUGCAGGACGUGCUGAUUAGAUUUUUGCCAGUGAAGAGUGACA